rnacentral:rRNA from 1 species
GACGUAGGGCGCGAGCGUUGUCCGGAUUUAUUGGGCGUAAAGAGCUCGUAGGCGGCUCGUUGCGUCGGCUGUAAAAACCCGCGGCUCAACUCGGCGAGGUCGGGCGAUACUGGCGGGCUCGAGGCUGGUAGAGGGCGGUGGAAUUCCGGGUGUAGUGGUGGAAUGCGUAGAGCUCCGGAGGAACACCAGUGGCGAAGGCGGCCGCCUGGGCCAGUCCUGACGCUGAGCCGCGAAAGCGUGGGGAGCGAGCCGG